GACGAACGCUGGCGGCGUGCCUAAUGAAUGCGAGUCGAACGAGAACCAGAGGCGUGCUUGCACAAAUCUGGGGACAGUGGCGAACGGGUGAGUAACACGUGGGUAACCUGCCCCGGAGACGGGCAUAACAGUGGGAAACUACUGCUAAUUCCCGAUGGUCUGUGAUAUCACAAGGUAUUACAGUAAAUGGAUUUCCGCUCCGGGAUGGGCCUGCGGGCCAUUAGCUUGUUGGUGGGUACGGCCUACCAAGGCGACGAUGGCUAGCCGGUCUGAGAGGAUGAUCGGCCACACUGGGACUGAGACAUGGUCCAGACUCCUCCGGGAGUUAGCAUCAGGGAAUCUUGCGCAAUGGGCGAAAGCCUGACGCAGCGACGCCGCGUGAGGGAUGAAGGUCUGCGGAUCGUAAACCUCUGUAAGCAGGGACGAAUGCCCCGUUUUAGCGGGGAGUGACGGUACCUGCAAGUAAGCUCCGGCUAACUACGUGCCAGCAC
rnacentral:rRNA from 1 species